rnacentral:lncRNA from 1 species
CCAGGGAUAUGCACAGACAGAGAAAAGACCAUGUGAAGACAUAGUGAGAAGGCCAUCUGCAAGUGAAGGGGAGAGGCCUCAGGAGAAACCACACCUGUAGACAUCUUGAUCGCAGACUUCUAGCUUUUAGAACUGUUGUUUCAGCCACCCUGUCUAUGGCAUUUUGUUAUGGCAGCCCUAGCAGACUUAAUGUGCUCAGCGAUAAAAAGAAGUGAAAUACUAUACACUGACAUGGAGGAAUCUAAAUAAUACUGUGUCGAAUGAAAGAAGCCUUAAACAAAACAGCAUGUAACUGUAUGAUUCCAUUUAUAUGCCAUUUUAGAAUAGGCAAAAUUAAUUUUUUAGAAAAAAUAUCGGAACAGUUGUUGCCUCUGAGGCAAGGAAUUUAGCAUCGUGAUUGACCCAGGUGGCAUGAAAGGAUUCUGGGGGUGAUGAUCCUGUUUUUUCAAUCCAGACUGGGCUUUGAAUUACAUAGUUGUAUUUAUUUGUCAAAAUUCAUUGAAUGGUAUAUUUGACAUUUGUACAUUUAUUGUAUAUUAACUUUACCUCAAAAGAAAAUAUACAUACUUUAAGAUAAAUAUUAAACAUUAGUCAGUGAUAUGCAUGCUGAAGUAUCUGGAGUGAGUGUACUGAUUUUGCAAACUACUCUGAAAUGUGUCAAAAGUAAAGUGAUUGAUGAAGAAUGCGCUUGAACAACACUAUGAAAUUUUGGACUUUGAAGACAUGGAAGGUGAGGGCUUGAAGAAAGAAAAAUCUUAUUGGAAACUAAAGGAAAGGGGCUCUUUGUUAUGCAGUGGUAGAAAGUUUAGCAAUACAGUUUUCUGAAAUUAUAUGGAAAAUGUGUCUAUUGGCAAGGGUAAUCUAGCUAAGGAGAUUUUCAAAUAGUGUUGAAGGUGACACCUGAUUUCUUCUUGGGUCUUACAGGAAGGCGUUGAAUUGAGAGAAGGAAGAUUAAAGAUGAAAUCAAGGGUGUGACUUAAAACCAUUCGUGAAGACCUCAGAAGAAACAAAGAUGGUGCCUCAGAAUACGAUUCAGUCACAUAGGAGCGCUUUAAAUAAAUUAAGGUUUCACAGGUUAAGAAGAAGAAAUGUACUCAAAGAGCUGUACUUAAGGAAUUAAAACUGAGGAGCCCCAACUGCACCUGGACCUGAUUUAGAUGACAAGAUUUUGGAUAUUGAGCUCACACUGCAAUGGGAUGAGACUUUGCAAUCCUUGGAGGGGUGAGUAUAUUCUGCACAUUGAAGGGAUAUAAGUCACUGGGGGGCCAGAGGAAGAGUGUGGUAGCCAGAUUCCAGGAUAGCUCCUCAUGAUCUCGAUCUCCCGGUACUCAUAUUCCUUUGUAAUCUCUUCCCCAUGAAUGUGGACUGGAUUUACUAACUCGCUUAAUAUGGCAGAAGUGACGAGGUGUCAACUCUGAGAAUAAACUAUAAAAAGAUUGUGGUUUCUGUCUUGGGUGCUUUUGCUGGUUCCCUCUUGGAUCACUCGGCCUGGGGAAAGGCAACUGCAACGCUGUGAGGCAACCCUGUGGAGAGGCUCAAAUAGUGAGAGAUUGAGACGUGCCGGCAUCCACACCAGUGAGCUGCAAGGUAAACUCUCCCCAGCUAAGCCUCCAACCCCAGCCCACAACUUGGCUGGUACCUGACAAGAGAAGCAGAGCCAGAGGCACUGAGUUAAGCCAUGUCUGUGAGAUAACAGAAACUGACAUAAUAAAUGUUUUUGUUUUAUUUUAAGCUGCUAACUUUUGGGCAAUUUGUCAAUGAAACAAUAGAUUAAUACACAGAACAGAACUGAGAAACCAUAAUGAAAAGGAAAAAGGUGAAUCAGAGAAUGAAUAGGACACAGCUCUGUUUUCUUUCAACAAUAGAUAAGCAUAAUCUUGGAGAUGAAGAGUGGAAGAAAUAUGAAAUGACCAAUGGUCAAAUAAAGUAGUAGCAAGAAAAUACAACAGUAGAGAAAGGAGAGCAAGAAGGGAAAGGGAGAAACACUCCUGCUGAAGAUUCCUUUAUGAUUAAAGGAGAUAAACAAAGGCCAGCAGAAGAAAAAAGAAGUCCACUGUGGUCUCUGAGCAGGAGAAGAUGGGUCAUGGAACCACUGAAAUGUUACUGACAUCAUGGAAGCAUCAAGGAAAAGUCAAAAAAUCCUUCAUAAGGGUUUAUAUUCUGGGAACCAUAAUUACAAAGUCACUAGGGCUGGCUCUGAAAUGACUGAUGCUGAAGAGGGAAGAGGGUGAUGCAAUCUCUAGGAGUAGGGAAUUCAUCAUUUAUUUUGGAAGUGAUUACUGGGGGAAAAAGAACUAUUGGCAAAUCUUUAUACUCACAUUAUUAAGCAGGCCAAGGAUGAUUAUUUAGAUGUGAAAUGGUUGCUAGAGAUGAGGUAGUUGCAUGGAUUUAAAAACUUUAAAGUUAUAAAUCUGCUGCUUAAAAUACUGAACAAACUAGAGGCAUGUAUUCAGCGACAGAAAUGUGAGGCCCAGCUAUGGCAAAGGAGGGAACAUCAUCUAUCUUGACAGAUGCUCUUGCCUGGUGAUAUUAAAGCCUAAAUGUAUAUUACAGCUGACAGCAUCAUGCCAAGUAGUUCCUGUACAAGCAUAAAGAAAAACUGAAGGAAUAGUACAGUCUUAAGCAAAGUUGAAACAAAUCUAAAAUUUAAAUAUAGCAUAACAUUUUUAAAAAAUUGAUCCAGAAAAAAUGCAGUUAUAUUUAGAAAACAUACAUCUGGUCAUAUCUGCCAAAUAAGAGCCCCAAACUGUGUUAGGUACUAUAGUGGACACAAAAGAAACCCUGGCCCCAAGGGACUUACGAACCAGCUGGAGACUCAAGUUCUAUGCGUGUAAACAAUUAGAGAAGGACUCCUGAAAGGACAGACAGUAUGCCUGACAAAAAAUAGCAAUGGCAUGUGACCAACAAAACACAUGAGAACACGGUUAAUCCAAUUUUCCUGAGCUGAAAGAGAGAGGACAGGUAAAAAGGAAAGUGAAAGCAACAGUAUCCUUGGAGUCUGGCUCACAGCCAAGCAGAUGGGCCAUGACCCCCAGAACCCAUCUCUCUGAGCCUCUGGUUCUUUGUAAAGUGGGUACCACCUACCUCCUAGGGAUGCCGUGAGGAUUAUGUUACAGUGUGCCUUAUACAGUAACAGUAUUAACUGCUCAAUAAAAGGUCUUUAUUGUUUUACCAAUGAGUCCAGAAAGAGCAAGGAACAAACAAGAAGAAAAUCAAGGGGAAAGCAAGAAAAAAACGAAAGCCAAUGGAGUAUGAAGAAGACUACGUGCAAGUAAGUCCUGUAGGUAGACAUUGAUUAGAGGCAAAAGUCAGAGAGGGCAUGACUAUGGUAUGAUUAGUGGGAUAAGCUAGGGAAAAAUUAAACCCCACCUUGAGGAAAUAAAUUGAAGAGCUACGGAUGUGUUACCCUGUAGGUUUCCAGAAGAAUGAUUGAAACUAAAACUAGUAUAGGGCCUUUGAGCAAAAUAUUUAAUGGUUGGAGAAAAAAAACCAAGAUGAUUAUAUAUUAAACAUGUAUACCUUUCUGCAUGUCCCUUCCCAGGAAGAAAAAAUAAUGGACAAAAUAAAAAAGAUUAUAAUAUAAUUAUUAACUAUAUAAUAAUUAACACUUCAGUGAUUACUCUCUGAUAACCACUGUUUGAAGUGCUUAUCAAGCACAGUCUUAUUUAAUCAUCAUUACAACUCUGUGAGGAAGAAAUAAUUGUUAUCAUUUACCAAGAAGGUGACUGAGUCACAGGGAAAUUUAACUUGUCCACUUCGGUGGGCAAGUUAAGCAACACUACACUAAAUUGCUUCUCACAGUUAUCCUGAGCUGGGUCACAAACUUUGGGUAGAAUAACACUCUGGUGUAAUGAGUUUAAAGCACCUACAAUAAGAAUAAGACCCCAAAUUGUUGCAAUGAAAAAUAUAGUAACUUUGGAUUGGUAAUAGACAGUCCUUUAAAAGAUCACACAUAAGCCAGGCACUGCGGCUCAUGCCUGUAAUCCCAGCACUUUGGGAGGCCAAGGGAAAGAGGAUCACUUGAGCCCAGA